CAAAUGAAAAAAGAACAGAAAAGUAACGAGAAACGAGUCAACAAACGAGAAAUGAGAACGAGUAAAAAAAGCAUAGCAAAAAUGAAGCAUGAGAAUAAUUGGAGAGUAAGCGGAGCUGAAUUUGAUCUUUAACCCGGUCAAGCUUAGCCAAACAAAAACAAAAAACACAGAAACACAGACAACACACACACGUACACAUAUCGUGCAAACAUCCAAUGUUAUAUAUCCAUAUCCGAACUGUACGAAGUCCUUCAAUUAUAAAGCAAAGUGGGGAAUACUUUUUUGUGUGGGGUCAAAGGCAGUUGCUUAGAGUAAAUAGAAGAAAAUAGCAGAAAAUGUGUAAAAAAAAAACAGUAUGGAAAAUAUUUAUAAACUAGAUUUUAGAGGGGGUUGGGGGGGAAGGGGAAGCAUGUCCAGAUUGAACGGAAAUUAAAGCCCAAAACUAGUCAACAUUCAGAUGGCUGGCUACAGGGACACAUCUUAUGCACAUAAAUGAGUGUUUACAUAUUGUACAUAGGCCUCAUCGAUUUGUGGCAUUAAAUUGUACUGCCUUUGGGCUAAUCCAAACAAAUUAUUUCCAUCUCCAUUUCAAUCGAUUGUAAGCUGCACUUUUCUGCCCAAUUCAUUGACCCACAAUAUACAUACAUUAAAUAAAAAUAUAAAAAUAAAUAUAAAUAUAGUAAAAGAACAUACUCCAGACUUGACCGGGUAUCGGAUAUACACAGCGGAUACAUUGCCCCAGCAUAAAUGUGAAAACUUAGAAAUCUUUUUUUGUCUAGCCCUUAAGAAAGUAAAUGAAAUUUAACAUUAAAUCAAUUAUGUAUAAAAACAAAAGCAAACGAAAUAUAUAUGUAUAUGUAUAUCGAAUAUAGCGCAUAUAUUUAUGUGUAUGUCAACGCUUAAAGAAAAUUAGUAACUAAGUUUAGAGCGAGGCGGAACGAGCCGUACAUAAACGUAUCUAUAUAUAUAUUUUUUUGUUUUUUUUUGGUCAGCAUAGCGGAUUAAGCCUACUUAUAAAAAUAAAUACAUACAUACAUAUAUGCAAAACAAUUUUAAACGUAACAUUUAAAAAAAAGCUUAGACACAAUUUGUAAAACAUUUGAGCGAUCUACCAAAAAAAAAAAA